GGCUCAGGAUGAACGCUGGCGGCGUGCUUAACACAUGCAAGUCGAACGGUGAAGCUCCAGCUUGCUGGAGUGGAUCAGUGGCGAACGGGUGAGUAACACGUGAGCAACCUGCCCCGGACUCUGGGAUAAGCGCUGGAAACGGCGUCUAAUACCGGAUACGCACCAGAACGGCAUCGUUACUGGUGGGAAAGAUUUUUUGGUCUGGGAUGGGCUCGCGGCCUAUCAGCUUGUUGGUGAGGUAAUGGCUCACCAAGGCGUCGACGGGUAGCCGGCCUGAGAGGGUGACCGGCCACACUGGGACUGAGACACGGCCCAGACUCCUACGGGAGGCAGCAGUGGGGAAUAUUGCACAAUGGGCGGAAGCCUGAUGCAGCAACGCCGCGUGAGGGACGACGGCCUUCGGGUUGUAAACCUCUUUUAGCAGGGA
rnacentral:rRNA from 1 species